rnacentral:rRNA from 1 species
CAAAAGUCUGAUCCAGCAAUUCUGUGUGCACGAUGAAGGUCUUCGGAUUGUAAAGUGCUUUCAGGUGGGAAGAAGAAAGUGACGGUACCACCAGAAGAAGCGACGGCUAAAUACGUGCCAGCAGCCGCGGUAAUACGUAUGUCGCAAGCGUUAUCCGGAAUUAUUGGGCGUAAAGCGAGUCUAGGCGGCUUGUUAAGUCAGAUGUGAAAAUGCGGGGCUCAACUCCGUAUUGCGUUUGAAACUGGCAGGCUAGAGUACUGGAGAGGUGGGCGGAACUACAAGUGUAGAGGUGAAAUUCGUAGAUAUUUGUAGGAAUGCCGAUAGUGAAGACAGCUCACUGGACAGAUACUGACGCUAAAGCUCGAAAGCGUGGGGAGCGAACAGGAUUAGAUACCCUGGUAGUCC